rnacentral:misc_RNA from 1 species
GAUGAAGAACGCAGCGAAAUGCGAUAAGUAAUGUGAAUUGCAGAAUUCAGUGAAUCAUCGAAUCUUUGAACGCACAUUGCGCCCUCUGGUAUUCCGGGGGGCAUGCCUGUUCGAGCGUCAUUAUAACCACUCAAGCUCUCGCUUGGUAUUGGGGUUCGCGGUUUCGCGGCCCCUAAAAUCAGUGGCGGUGCCUGUCGGCUCUACGCGUAGUAAUACUUCUCGCGAUUGAGUUCGAUAGGUCUACUUGCCAGUAACCCCCAAUUUUUACAGGUUGACCUCGGAUCAGGUAGGGAUACCCGCUGAACUUAAGAAUAUCAAUAAGCGGAGGA